UGAUAAUCAUAAAAAAAAUAAGAAAAUGCAUAAAAGUUUCUAUGUCUGAUUUUAUGAGUGUGGGGAAUGUGAAAGAUUACUAGUUCUUGUUAAUAUGGAUUAUCUAGGAUUGAGGUGGUUGUGGGGACAGGAGGUUCAGGGGAUUCGGUGCUUGUCCAAUUCAGUUUACUACCAGAAUCAUGGAAAGAAUGAAGUUUGUGAACCGAGUCACCACUGUACAUAUAUAUGGUAUGUGUUCUCCUUUUCUACUUAUUUCUUGCUUUCAAAAGUGGGCAAGUAUCAGUUGUCAUCAUCAGAAUGUCACAUUCUCUCUGGGCUAUGUAUGUAUCCAUGUCUUUAUGUGUUUGCCAAAAAGAAUCCAGUUGUCAGGAAGAUGGUAGGAAUUGAGGAGCCACUGAGAGAAGCAGAGCCACCUGGGAUGAGGAUUAUCUCCUUGCAGAAGGUGAGAGUGCAUGGUUAUGUAAGAAUCAUUCUGGAGAAAUUAAGUGCAAUGGCCUUGAUGGGAAGAAUGGAUAUUUGCCAGUAGGUAAGGAAGGUGGUCUAAGUAUGGAGUCAGUUUCCUAUUGUUAGGGAGUGAGGGGCUUUCCUAUAUUUUUUGCCAGAAGCUUCCCUAUAUUUUUGUAGGGAAGUGGGAAAGGUUUGUCUAGCAAGUAGUUCUCCGAGUUGCUUGCUCAUUAGAAUCAUUUGGUGGUGGGGCAUCAACAACCACUGACAACUGAUCUACUUCCGGAGAUGGUGAUAAUUGGUCUUAGGUCUUCUGGAAGUCAGAACUUUUUAAAGAUCUCCUCCAGGUGAUCCCAAUGUGCAGCAACAAUUGUGAGCUAAGCCUCAGGCCAAUACUUCAAACCUGGUAGAUAUUAGAAUCACCAGCUGAGCAUUAAUAACUUUGAAACUAAUCUAAAUAGUAUGAAAAUCAUCUGGACACUGGGAUUGUUUUUAAAUCCCCCUGUCAAUUCUGAUGUAAGGCUAAAUUUGUGAAUCUCUGCCUUAAAAGAAGUUUAUAGCAACUCGAUAAAGAACUUCAGUGAAUUUAGAGCACUGUUUGUGGCUUCUCCAUGCUGGGCUCAGGCUAGAACUGCCAUGUAAUUAGGGACUAAGUAUUGUGGAAAUAAAAUAGAGCCAUUUUUAGGUUCCUUUUUUGCCUUGAGUCAUUGACCAUGUAUGUGAUUCAGAAUAUUUAGAAACACACAAGUGCAUUUGGUGAUCUGGUUUUUUGAAGCACAGACGUCACUUUGAGAUUCCAAGAAAGAAAAGGAUUGCAGGUUGUUUGAUGGACAUAAGAUUAUAUAGAUUAUAAAGAUUAUAGUGUGGGAAAAAGAGGCAGAAGGUCAAAGGGAAGUACAUUUCUUCUAGCCACUACAAUCACUUUUGCAUUCCAGGAAUGGAUGAUCCUCAGUGUGAAGGCCCACGUAAAUAAUAUCCUUCAGGAAAAAGGAUGUAUUCAUCAUUUGCCCUCACCACUUACUUUACUUGGAUAAAAUGGUUGUUUCUGGAAGAAAUAGUUCACUGCUGAGUUGAAUGAGUGGGUAGAAUACAAUAUCAGUGAGAAAUGGAGAGUGGAUCUCAUAGCAGAGUGAGAUGAGGAAGCUGGACAGAGCUGGCAGGAAAAGAUGCUGGAUGGUGCUGAGGAGUUAGCGCUUUCUGGGGAGAAAAAGGAAACAAUAAGAGGGUGAAUUAAUAAGAAUGAAAGAUUCCAAAGUUACUGUGCCUUUGGGCAAUUUCCUUUCAUUUAUUGAACAUAAGGAGAAGAAGCUGGGGAAUUGAUCUUUGACUUGAGGGUGGAAGAUGGGAAGAUAAUUUAAGAUUUAAUAUUUCUCUUAUUGAUAAUUAAACUCUUCACAGUCAUGGGAGAAGACAGUUAUAGUAGAGCAAUAGUGUAAAAAAGUAAGUGCAAAUGGCAUAUUAAAUAUUUUUUCUAAUACAAAAAUAAUAGUGUAGACAACUUCAAGGUAUAGAAAAGUACAAAAUAAUUGAAAAUCUUAACCCAAAGAUAAAUAUUCUUAGUAUUUACAUGUAUGUUAUUCCAGUGUUUCUCAUACAAAUGAAUCAAUAUGCUUUUCUUGAUAAGAAUUAUAUUGCCCUACACAAAAGCAAUUCACAUGAGAACGUUCUUGAUAUUCUAAGGGAGAAAAGCUUAAAAAUACAAUACAAUUUACUACAAGUACUAUUCACUCAACCAAUUGGCUAUUGUGGUACCUCUAUGGCAUUUGAUUCCAAAGGGAACAACUUAAGGUGAAUAUCAGAAAAAUUAGGCUUGUGUCCUAGAAAACCAAAUGUAGGACUGUAUCCUGGGGAUGGAUUCUGGUUUUUAAAUUUCCAAAAUUAUUCUUUAGCCCAGCUUCCUGAUUGGAAGGGAGACCAUGCCUGACUGACACUUUGGACUUUGCCCAACCCACACUUUUUGUAUUUAACCCAGGCACUAUCUUGUCUCAUUACCUUUUAAAAAUCAGCCAUCAAAUUAGCAUAUGGGCAAGGCCCUUAUUUAAGGGGACGGAUGCUCACAAGGAGUUAUUGGCAUAAAUUAUCCAAGCACAAUUACCCACCAUUUCAUAUCACAAAUGUGUUCAAUUGCUCUCUCUUUUUAAACAAAUUACUUAGCAUAAUUAUGUUAUUUUAAUAACUAUUCUAAUAGCAUUAAUUAUAACAGUACCUAACAGUCUGUGUGGUAUUGGAAAGCUCUUUUUCAGUUCCAGAAGUCUCAAUUUUGGCUAUACUUUUCAAAACAGAGCUACUGCUAUCACCAAUAGUCCUGAUAAAGGUUUGUAUACUAUUUCUCACCAUUUCAAAGGGAAGAAGCCUACCCAGUA
rnacentral:lncRNA from 1 species